UCAAUUUCUUUUUUCUGGUCUCCAGCUUGCAUUUUGAUUUUUUUUCACAGUGGCUUGUAGGGAGCAAAAGUUUUAAAUUUUGUUGAGGUCCAAAUUAUCAAGUAUUUAUUUUAUAUUGUGUGCUUUUUGUGUGUCCAGUUGAAGAAAAUCUUUGCAUCAGCCAAGCCCGGAUAGAAACGGGCUCCAUGAAGAAUGAAUGAGUUGACAACAUGCCGUCCAAUUCUGCAUCUGGAGCAAGCACAGGAAUUUAUUACAAGCAGUAGCCAGAUCUUUUUUUUGGACAUGCGAUAAUCUUUUAUUCUGUUUUAUGUGAAAGUUAAAAGCUAAAGAAUGCCAUUUGCAGACCUUCAGCAACUUCUAGCUCAGCGUUAGAAAUUCAUUGCAGAAGAAGGAGAACUUUGAUAUAGGGCCAGCACAAUGACAUCCAGCGCCCAGAUCUUAAUUUCCGAAUUGAUUCUUCAGCUCGGUACCUGCUCUGUUUGCAGGAAUGACAGACCAAACAUCCAGAAGUAGAUUUCAAUGCAUGGAAGUAGCUGAGAGAUUCCAGCUGGGAAAAAAAAAUUAAGUGAACCCCACACCCACACACAUCACAUAUAAAGCCACUCCCAUCAUUUUUUAUCGCGGAUCUUCUGCUCUGACAAAAGAUUGGCUUCAAAGAAGAGGACUGCUUACAUUUCAAAUUAACAUGACUGUUGAGAAAUCCUAUGGUGGCUUGAAUGGACUCUGGCAAGGCGAAUUCACGAAAGUCCCAGGGGACCAGUCUGACAUUUGCCCACUUGUCAGGCAGGAGGUUCCAAGCAAGAGAAGUCCUCCUGAACAAGGUCAGUGGGAACAUCCCUUAGUCUGGCAGCAAACAGUGAUGAUGAGACAGGAAACAGGGCCCAGAACGAAACCGUAACCUUGACUAGAGAGACAAGACUUGUGCUCCUGCCCUGGAGUCUCCGCUGAAUACUUUUUGGGACGGCCAAAGCGGCACUUGGGUGGAGGGUCAGGGAGGCUACACUCCUGUCGUAUGUGCAGCUGCAGGGCUCUAGGAUGGGCACCCCUCAACCUCCCAGCCCCCUGGUGGGCAGCGGGCACGUCUUUGGUUGGCUGGAGCUUUGGAGAAGGGGCCCAAGCAACCCCAAAGUGGUUUGCUACUGGGACAAGGGGAGAGAGAAGACUGGUGGGUUUUAUUUUAUAUUUCCACACAAAUCUUCCCAUUCCUAUGUUUCAACUAUUGUCCAUGACCUUCAGAAUCAAGGCCCACCUGUUCAGGGUGCCCAACAGGGCCCCAGAUGGUACAGAUUCCCCUGAACUCUCUGAGCUGUCUGUCAUCCACUCUCCCCUUCUCCAGAGUCCAUCCCACCUGGUUAUCUUCCCUGGUCACCUGCUGCUGGGCCCUUCCUUCCACUGUGUGUGCACCCUGUCUUCCCCCAUCCCUUCCCCUCACCUGAAUCUUGAUUCUCAGGUCUUGGUUUCUAUGUCACCUCCUUUCCCUGGGCUUUCCCCACCCACCCCUCCACCCACCUGCCUGGGUCAGGUGGCCAUUUUCAAGGUCCCGGGAUCCCCUGAAUCUUCCCUGUCAUGUAUUCUGCCCAAUCACAUCUUGGCCCCUUGUUUCUCUUCCUCUCCGUCAUGGGGAGCCGGUCUUCCCGAGGGCAGGGGCUGCGCAUCCUUCCCCUUCCAGUCUUCCGCACCCACUCCUUGCUCAGCAAAGGGGAGAGUAUCAGCCCCUGUAGGCCCAAGGGUCACGUGUUCUGCUUUUUAAGUUGAUCUUUUCGAGUUCAGCUGUGUAGAAGGAAGAGUUUUGAGAGCAUAUGGUUGGAGAAGUCCUAAAUCAUCUUAGAAAAUGCUUACGUCAUUGUGUGUGCAUCGCUGGUGGGAGUACGGGGGUGACAGUGCUGGGGGCUCAGAAUGAAGUGAGGGGCGUGGCCCUGGAAGGUGGGGGAGAUCUGCGUCACAAGGACUCCCCAGGCCCUCACCAUGCAGGGGUGUGAGCAGAGCUGGGUUCCAGCCGCUAUCUGACUGCACCUGGGCCUCCAGGUGAGAGCCCAGCCCACGCCUUGGUUUCCACCUUGUGAGACCUGAGCAGAGACCAGCUGAGCCAAGCUGUGCCUGGACCCCAGACCCACGGAGAGUGUGAUGUAAUCGGUGGGUGCUGUCUUAAGCAUGAUCAGCCUGUGGAGAUCUGCUAACACAACCAUAAGGCACUCACACAGGUGAGCACUGCUGUCUCCCCAAAAUGGUCAGGUCCCUGGUGCUGCCACCCUGUGCCCGCCACAUCCCAGGCUUCUUCCCUCCUCCACCAAAGGAGACACUGCGUGCCAUGCAGCAUGGUGAGGAUUGCCAACGUUAGUGGUCUUGCAACUCAGUUAGUGCAUAUCUUUAGUUUUCCUUUCCCCGUGGAAGAUGAACCAUGAGAGAGUCUAACAUGGAUGGUAGCUCAGUAAAACCAUAUGACAAAAAGCAAAAGCCAGCUGGUCCACAUUUGUUCCAAAGGGGGCUGUCUUGGCUCCUUUGGUCCCUGUUAGCUAUCUUAUCAAGUGAUUCGUUGUCAUGAUCAUGGUGAUUUAGGGUCACGGGAUGAAUUCCCACAGGAGGAGUGUUUUGUAUAAAUUCAUUCUCUUUUUUACUAGACUCCAUUUCAUGAGGUUUCUGUAACUUUCAGUCACAAUACUCUAGGGCACCACUGAAAUACAGAUGCAGUAAAUUCAAAUGAACCAUUCUGGACUGUGUAAAUCGAGUUUGCCCUAAUAACCAUCCUUGUAGUGUUGACGUCUCUGGGCAUAAUGAGCCCCAUUGCAUUACAGGAGCCCCAGCCGCAUCUUGGGCGGAAGGCAGACUUCAUCUGUGUUCGUCUUCUGUGCUUCAUAAUUUCAUUAGGAGGACUGCUUCUAAGUCAAGUCAUCUCCAAUGCCAUUGUCCAGGCUGUUAGCAAAUUCGCAUCAUAACCCUUUUCUUCAUCCACCUGCCAGAGGCUUAGUGCAAGCCCUCCUGUCCACAGGAAAACGUGCGUGGUGACAGGAGACACAUGUUCUCCGUCGGACUCCUGAGCACUUAGCAGGUGACCCUUUGUUGUGAUUCCCUGUCCCCCCCUCAGGUCUAAUUACUCCAUAUGUCUUUCCAUAUUUUGGCUGAUCUACAAUUGUAGUUCUCAUUAUCAUUUUGUGGGUUGUGAUGCUAUUUCCUCCAGUUUCAUUCUCUCUUUUAUGUUUCUCUUGUACAAAAUUAAUUACAUUGUACCUUCAAGCAUAAUUUUAACACUGUCUCCAUUGCAAUGUGUCUGCCUUUAAUUAAUGCUCUUCUAAUGUAGAUUUUAGAGCCAAAUGGUGCCAUAUUCUGAGCAUCAAAGAAACAAAGGAUCUAACAAAACUACGAUGAAUGAGCAAGACAAAACAGCUGACAAUGUAUUCUCACUGAAAAUGUCACUUGUGCUGUAUGUUGGGUAGCAGGACGGAUUACUCGGGGCUUUGUCUUCUUAAAGACGAGACAAGAGAAGUUGACUGCAGAAGUUGGACGCUGUUGGCCUGGGCUCCGUUUCAACUUAUACUGGUCAAACAUCUCAAGGGGAAUGAACAGAACACAACGUUCUCACGGCUCAGGCUCAGGCUCAGGGGGUGGAGCCCACAAAUACAUUGCUUGGACAUUUUCUAUAGAAUAGAAAGGAUAAAUCCCCCAUCCUGAACUUCAGUCUAUGCUUUUCAUGUCUCAAAGGCUCCUCUCAUGCUCGGCCCCUUUGGUGUUCCCACUCCAAAGGCAGAGCCAUCUCUUUGGGUUACUGUACAGAAGUUUCACAAAAAGAAAACCAAACACAGUCGACACGAACUUCUAUCCACCAGGAGGGAGUGCUUUGAAAAUGUGUGCGUGUGUGUGUGUGUGUGUGUGUGUGUGUGUGUGUGAAUUUGCAGCAAUAAAUAUGUACCCUCUCUAAAAUACACCAUUUAUAUUGGUUUGGA